rnacentral:rRNA from 1 species
UACGGAGGGUGCAAGCGUUAAUCGGAAUUACUGGGCGUAAAGCGUGCGUAGGUGGUUUGUUAAGUCUGAUGUGAAAGCCCUGGGCUCAACCUGGGAAUUGCAUUGGAUACUGGCAGGCUAGAGUGCGGUAGAGGGUAGUGGAAUUCCCGGUGUAGCAGUGAAAUGCGUAGAUAUCGGGAGGAACACCAGUGGCGAAGGCGACUACCUGGACCAGCACUGACACUGAGGCACGAAAGCGUGGGGAGCAAACAGG